UCUGCACAGACCCUGGCUUUUC
rnacentral:miRNA from 1 species